rnacentral:tRNA from 1 species
GUGAGUUUAACUCAGUUGGUAAGGACAAUGCAUAAUAUAUGCAAGGUCCGGGUUCAAACCCCGGAUAUCACA